GAUGAACGCUGGCGGCGUGCCUAAUACAUGCAAGUCGAGCGAACAGACGAGGAGCUUGCUCCUCUGACGUUAGCGGCGGACGGGUGAGUAACACGUGGAUAACCUACCUAUAAGACUGGGAUAACUUCGGGAAACCGGAGCUAAUACCGGAUAAUAUAUUGAACCGCAUGGUUCAAUAGUGAAAGACGGUUUUGCUGUCACUUAUAGAUGGAUCCGCGCCGCAUUAGCUAGUUGGUAAGGUAACGGCUUACCAAGGCGACGAUGCGUAGCCGACCUGAGAGGGUGAUCGGCCACACUGGAACUGAGACACGGUCCAGACUCCUACGGGAGGCAGCAGUAGGGAAUCUUGCGCAAUGGGCGAAAGCCUGACGGAGCAACGCCGCGUGAGUGAUGAAGGUCUUCGGAUCGUAAAGCUCUGUUAUUAGGGAAGAACAAAUGUGUAAGUAACUAUGCACGUCUUGACGGUACCUAAUCAGAAAGCCACGGCUAACUACGUG
rnacentral:rRNA from 1 species